CCCGAGGAAGGCCAAAAACAGCUUGCAGGAGCCAGCUCUCUCCUCCACGUGGGCCUUGGGGACUGAACUCAGCUCACUGGCCUUGGCAGGUGUCUUUACCCAAUGGGCCACCUCACCAGCCUCAUUUUUUUUUAGGAUAGAGCCCAGGCUGGCCCGAAUUCAGGUAUCUGCCUGCCUCUGCCUCUCAAGUGGUAGGAUUAAAUAAAGGUGUGUGCUACCAGGCCGGCACUCCAUUAUGCUAUGUAGCCCAGGCUACAGCAGAACUUUAAAUCCUCCUGAAAAGCAGAAUUACAAUCCUGCACCCAGGCUGGAACUAAUGUUUGUGUCUGUAAAAGCUGUGGUACUGUUGAAGGUAAUAGGACCUUGAGAGUGAAAGUCUUGAGUGGGAUUAGAGCCUACACCCAGAUAUCUGAAAAACCAAGGUGGGGCUGAAGAGAUGGCUCAGUGGUUAAGAGCACUGGGUGAAGCCGGGCGUUGGUGACGCAUCCUUUUAAUCCCAGCACUCGGGAGGCAGAGGCAGGUGGAUCUCUCUGAGUUCCAGGCCAGCCUGGUCUCCAGAGAGUGCCAGGAUAGGCUCCAAAGCUACACAGAGAAACCCUGUCUCGAAAAACCAAAAACCAACAACAAAAAAAGACUGGGCAGUAGUGGUGCGCCUUUAAUCCCAGCAGGGAGGCAGAGGCAGGUGGAUCUCUGUGAGAUCGAGGCCAGCCUGGUUUAUAAAUCGAGUUCUAGGACAGCCAAGGCUGUUACAAAGAGAAACCCUGUCUCAAUGAAUAAAAUAAGAAAGAAAGAAAGAAAGAAAGAAAGAAAGAAAGAAAGAAAGAAAGAAAGAAGCCAAGAGAACUUUUCAGGAAGCAUUCUAGGGCUCUCUCGGCCUAUGCCUGAAUAUCAAGUUCCCAGCCUGGACACCUGCGAGGUUUAAAUUACUGCUUAAGCCACUUAUCUGGUGUGCUUGUUUUUACAGCCCAAAUUGAGGCACCUGUCUUUAUCAAAACAAGGCAACACAUUUCGCAAGCACUUCCUCUGCCAGGCCCCGAGUCUAACCAUCUGCCUUGUCUUCCCCCAUCACCCCUGGGUGCAACUUUGCUGAGGCCCCCUCCCACCUGCCACCAUGCUGCUCUAGCGUGGGCUGCAAACCCCUCAGACACGUUGUUCAGUGUACGUGGAAGGCCUCUUUCAAAGCAAGCACCCCCGCCCGCGAAGGGGGUGAUUCAUGACCCCCGUUUCCCACAGGGGAAAGUCUGGGUGCGGCUGGGAGCGGCAGGGUAAUGAGUCAGGGCCCAAGAGCUCAGGGGGCACAAAGGUCCGGAGGGCGGGGCUUCGCCGGAUUCUUGAGGUGGGCAGGCCGUGCGGCCGCACCCCUGCCCCGGGCACUACCUAAGCCUCUGACCUCCGGAGUGACGGAUCAUCGCCAUGGAGUUCGACCUGGCUGCAGCCGUGGGCCCCGGCUCUAAGAAGCCAGAGGGAAACCCCAAGCACUGUCCUCCCAAAGCCCCGGGCCACAAGCCCAAGCAUGGCCCAGCCCUCACUGUCACCCCUCACCUCACCCCACCCCAGCAUGGUCCAGCCCUCACUGUCACCC
ensembl:lncRNA